rnacentral:rRNA from 1 species
GAUGAACGCUGGCGGCGUGCUUAAUACAUGCAAGUCGAACGGAGAUUGUAGCAAUACAAUUUUAGUGGCGAACGGGUGAGUAACGCGUUGGUGACCUGCCUCGAAGCGAGGGAUAACAGUCCGAAAGGAUUGCUAAUACCUCAUGUGGUUAUAGGGUUUAGAAGCCUAUAACUAAAGGAGUAAUUCACUUCGAGAGGGACCUGCGUACCAUCAGCUAGUUGGUGAGGUAAUGGCCCACCAAGGCGAUGACGGUUAGGGGACCUGAGAGGGUGGCCCCCCACAAUGGAACUGAAACACGGUCCAUACACCUACGGGAGGCUG